GAUGGGGAUGGGGCGACGACGGCGGUGGCGGCGGCGGCCUUCUCUCGGUGCUUGCUGAUGUGGUGGACAUCGACGUCGGUGACGGGUUGCAGCACGUAGACAUCAAAGGCUGCGGGUGUGACGGAGGAGCACCAUGGCGGGCGUGCAGACCAUGGCUCGCUAUGGAAGGCCCUUCCCUUCCCUCUCUCUGUUCGGGCCAUGCUCAGGCAGUCUUUUCUCUUCUCUUCCCGCAAAAAAAGUCUUUUCUCUUCAUGAUCUGAACAUGUUGGAGGCCAUUAUUUCUCCACUGCCGGAGUCUAGCCUCCCUCCGUGGGAUGCCAUGGAGAUGAAACUCCCCUCGACGAAAGAAUUCAAGGGCAUGUGGGAGAGAGAGGUGGUCCAUGGAGAAGAAGCUCUGCUCCAACCCUCCCUGCCUCCUAAUACAAGAUGUCUUUUUUUGUGUGUGCUUGUAUUGCAGCAGCCAUGUGCGUAUCAAAAAAAGGGUCCAGUUUGCAGCAGUCACAUGAUAUGGACAUGUUUUUUCAUCACAAUUGGAUUUUUGGAUUUACUAGGCUAAUUGGUGGUGGUUGCUGUUGUUGUUGUUUUAGCAGCAGCAGCAGCAGGCGGAGUGACGAUGUUGGCUAUGUGCAGGCCGUGGAGGCUUUGAUGAGCACGAGGGGAAGGCCGCUGCUUCAACCCCGUUAAGCUUACGUGUGGGAUUUGCUUCGGAAGUUGUCCACGUGAGUCAAUGGGUGCUGCUUCAUGUGGGCAUCCUUUCUGUGGUGUAUGUUGGAGAGGUUACACACCUGAUGAUGUUUACGGCUAGGCACAGGAACAAGCAGAGGCCGAGGAAGUGCGGGCACGCGCAGCUGGCCUUGGCAGGUGUAGGAACCGUGCGAGGAAGGUUCAGCGUGCUGCACAAGUCGGGCCACGCCCGGAGCGCCGUGCCAACGCAUGUGUGCGUGGUCGGUGGGUUAGCCAAGAUCUGCAUUCUGCGACUUCAUCUUCACCAUGGACACAAGCAAGGACUGAUUGGUGGUUCUUGGUAGCGGUGCCGAGCAUCGGCGGAUCGAAGUGGUCGAGGUCGCGGUUAAUCCACCAGGACGAGACAUGCAUCUUGGAGCUAGCGCAGAGGGGGGAAGAAGCCGGUUGGUAUGGCCCGGUAUGUCCAGUUCUUCCCAUGAAGGUCACAUGCCUAACUUCGUGCUAGACAUUGCUAACUUAGCCACUUGAUGUUAAACUCUGUAUGUGUAACUAGACCUAGCACCAUUCAAUGAUUCGAUGUGUUAAAUUAAAGUACCAAUUAGGCAUGUUCACCCCUUUGUACAUGUGUGUUGUUGCAUUGCUUACUAUAUCUUGUUGUAUAUGAUGGCCCAUUGUCAGCUAUACAACUUAUGAAUUCUGUCAAGUUCAGUUCAGAUUUGAUUUUUUUUCACCUCUUUUUGCAUGGACAAUGUGUCUGGUGUUUAAAUAAUGGCUACUUGAAAUUCAUAGGCAUUGUGAGGUCAAAAAGUAUUCCAUUUUGACUCCUUUAUUCAGUAUGGUUCAAAGUUGUUAGCUGCUACACCUACAGGUGGAAAACUUACGGCAUUCUAAAAUUAAGCAGCAACCUUUAUUGCCGGUCAUUUAAAAUUGCAGUGACAAGACAACUGCUGACACAGAGUUCUACCUCUCUGACUGAAACAAGAACUUUUGCGCAAAGAAAACACACACAGGGCAGGAACAUGACUACUCUUCCCCUUCCAAGUUUUUGAUCGAUCGAACUCUUCGGUGACCAGAAAAUGAGAAAAAGGCAGGCCGUCGAUGUACAGACCACAGGUGCUCGGACGCACGGCCGGCAUCAUGGUCGUCAUAACUCAUAACCCAUGAGGUGGUGACCAAGCAAGAAAGGAAGGAACUUCCGCGCAAAGAAAACACACACAGGGCAGGAACAUGACUACUCUCGCCCUUCCAUGUUUCUGAUCGAUCGAACUCUUCGGUGACCAAAAUAUGAGAAAAGGGCAGGUCGUCGAUGUACAGACCACAGGCGCUCGGACGCACGGCCGGCAUCAUGGUCGUCAUAGCUCAUAACCCAUGAGGGGGUGACGAAGCAAGAAAGGAAGAACUCCCGGGCGACGAGCCCAAUGGCCUUGUACUUCGCCCGAACAAGCACCAUUGGGUCGACGUUGCAGCCAGCGGCUGCGGCCAUGCAUUCUGAAAUUCCAUGGCAUGAUGCAUAUAAAUUGGAUCUGUAGGUGGGUUCAGAAGAUGAUUUUUUUCUAUGCUUCUCCUAUGAUUCAUGAAGCUCCAAGCGAGCAAGAAGUUUCAGUCCACCUUUACUCAUGGCCUCCCCUUCUCGUCUGGUGGACGGCCUUGGCAAUCUGAACAAGCUUUACGCGACUGGCACUCUUGUUGAUCCCAUAUGAGUCAUUAAGCCGUUUUGUGCGCAAGGUUGAGAUAGUUGGGGCCUAUAACUGUGUUUUGAUCCCAUGAAUGUCAUUUUGCACCGAAGGUUUGUAACCAUUGGGGAAUGUUUUCUUGCUCUGAUGUAUCAAGUUGCCAUGGGGGUGAUCUAGAGGUCUCUUCCUUGUCCAAAGUAUGUCAUACCUAAUCAAGACAUGUUCAUUUAAUUUACCCGUCAUGUAAAUGACACAACAUGGUUCACUUGUGUAUAGUGUAAAAAUAUAUUUAUUUAUGGCACACAGGUGUUCAAUUAUAGUUGUGAAACGUGUAUAGUGUAAAAUAUAAUUUUUAAGGGAUGUGACGUCACAGUGGUCGUGCCUCGUCUUCUCCGAGUCUCUGCUUGUGGUUUGUGUUCUUUAGAUCUGUUCAUGCCCUGGUAUUGCUAUCUGAUUUCAUCUUCUCUGGACUAAUUAGGGCUUUGCUUUUGUUUGCACCAAUUCGAGAUAAUGGUCAUGACAUGCAGCAGCUAAGACAACAAGGUCAAGCCCAGGCUUAGGCCUGAUGAUGAACACAAUUAGAUGCGGGUAGUUCCUUGCAUCCUCAUGUUAGAACUACUUUUUUUUACGCUCUUGCUGCUGCAGAUUAGCUACCUACUUACCUUUAAACACAAUGUGUCUGAGAUAACACGGCGAAUAGUCCAGACAACGACACCCCCUCUAUGGGCUUGAAUUGUGGUCCUGGGCGCUUGUUUGAUGUUCGAACAUGCCCGGACGUAUGAGGGAGAAAUGCGUUUCGACCUUGAAGACGACCUUAAUCAUUUGUUUAUUUUAUUUAUAUGCAUGGUAGCCCGUAGCAACGCACGGGCGUUCUACUAGUAUACUCUUAAGUACAUUGAUCUCCCUGUAUCGAUGUUUGACACUGCAGAAGAUGAUCUGUGCUACAUGUGUGUGUGGAUUUUAGUUUUUGUUGCAGAGUCUUACAUCAUAUGUUGAGUCUAGAUCGAUUCCUAACUGAAGAUGUACAUGUUGGUGGUCAUAUUGAUGUUAUAAUUGGAUCUUGAUGAUAUGGCUUGUACGUGACGGCAGUAUGUGUGUAGUGUCUAUUUGUACCUAUAUAAUGGUAAUGGGCAUGAAGUAGUUUAUUAUUCAGGAGGAACUUUCUGUUUUCUCCUUGCCUUAGGAGAACCCCAGCCGUCUGAUAUCUUGUUUGAGCGAUAAUUCUAUCUGUUGGAUCUAAACUGGGGAUGGAGAAUCACAGUAACAUGUUUUCCCUUUAUCUUCACUUGAAGCAAUAGUUGCCUGACGGACUUUGUCUUUAUUUCUACCUAAGAUGACAGUAUUUAGCAGUGUCUUUGAAACUGCUAACCAACAUGCAUAUAUCGGAUACCAGCUUGAAUUGGAAUUUUGUUUACAGCCUAUUUAUUAAAACUUCAUAGCUAUAUAUUUGGAUUUGUGGAUGUUCACAUGCAUAUGUUUCUCUUAAAUUCUCUGGCACAAACU